CCCUCGGGACAUACACGAGAGACGUCGCUGCGGCUUUGGGAAAAGGUGGGGUCGCGUCAUCACCGACAGGAGCUGGGUUUCCUGAGGACCCGCUGGGGAGACGCCCCGGAGGGAGGAUAAGCUGGACUUGCUGAGAUCGUGAACAAUAACGCCAAUAUGGAUCGCCAAGGGCGACACGACAGACGUGUGACAAGAAGCACAGUGCCUCUGAACUAAGUGUGCAGCUGCCAGGUCAAGCUGGUGUUUGACCUGCCAUCGGAGCGCCAAACCAAGAAGCGUUAGGUCAUACAUGAACCUGUACAAGGGCACACACCAGUCAUUCCUACAACAUCCUGCAUCACCACGGGACCGGUAGUUGUUGUGGUAAAAAUAUGUUGUGCAUUCGUCUUUCCCACGAAAUCUCUUCUAGCCACAGAAUUAACCAGAAACAAGAGACACACACCCCUCCCCUCCCUUUUCUCAGCAACAGAAAGACAGUCUGUGAUACACGAGAAAGAAGAACGUAGCAAAAUGAAGUUCGAAAUACUGAAACAGGCUAGAAGAUAUGUAAUGGUUUCUUUGCAAGCCAGCAGCUGACUGAACCUGAUGUUGCAAUUUGGAUAACAGGACACCCCCUAUUCAGUGAACAAGGCUGUGUGAUAAGAUGGAGCCAAAAAGCCCGAGGAGUUUGGAUUAUUCACUUGUAAUUCCUGUUUCCCUUCCUUUUGCUACAUGUCCUUUUCCUAUGGACAGACUGUGAAACUGCCCAUGAGGCCAACCCACAUACUAGGUGGGCCAGCCAAGAAGCAUUACCCACCUAUGAUGACGGCAGUUGGCAGCCAGCACUUUUGCAAAUGUGAGUCUGGAUGGGGGAGUGCGGGAUGGAGAACCGGGGGCGCUCCUCAAAAGCCUUGGCCUCAGGAGUUCAACAUUUCCAUCCUGGCACUCCCACUUUCUUUCAACAGUUACUGAGUAUACAUGUCCAUACUAAUGUAUUCAGUGAAAUACUUUCAGCUGCUAAUACCAGAAUACCCAACUAAAAUUGGCCUUUAUAAUGAGGACAUUUCAGAUAUAAUUUCACAAAGUGUUCUGAGGUAGGAGGUCCCAGGGUUGGGGCGGCAACUCAACAAU